GCUAAACCCUGAUUAAACACAAAGCCCUGACGCAUGCGUUGCGUCAGGGCUUUCUGGGUUAACAGGGCUUGCU
rnacentral:misc_RNA from 1 species